rnacentral:rRNA from 1 species
GUAGGGGGCAAGCGUUGUCCGGAAUUAUUGGGCGUAAAGCGCGCGCAGGCGGCUAUUUAAGUCUGGUGUUUAAACCUUGGGCUCAACCUGAGGUCGCACUGGAAACUGGGUGGCUUGAGUACAGAAGAGGAAAGUGGAAUUCCACGUGUAGCGGUGAAAUGCGUAGAGAUGUGGAGGAACACCAGUGGCGAAGGCGACUUUCUGGGCUGUAACUGACGCUGAGGCGCGAAAGCGUGGGGAGCAAACAGGAUUAGAUACCCUGGUAGUCCACGCCGUAAACGAUGAGUGCUAGGUGUUAGGGGUUUCGAUACCCUUGGUGCCGAAGUUAACACAGUAAGCACUCCGCCUGGGGAGUACGGUCGCAAGACUG